rnacentral:rRNA from 2 species
AAAACUUUUAACAACGGAUCUCUUGGUUCUAGCAUCGAUGAAGAACGCAGCGAAACGCGAUAUGUAAUGUGAAUUGCAGAAUUCAGUGAAUCAUCGAAUCUUUGAACGCACAUUGCGCCUUCCAGUACUCUGGGAGGCAUGCCUGUCCGAGCGUCGUUU